rnacentral:rRNA from 1 species
GAUGAACGCUGGCGGCGUGCCUAAUACAUGCAAGUCGAGCGAACAGACGAUGAGCUUGCUCCUCUGACGUUAGCGGCGGACGGGUGAGUAACACGUGGAUCACCUACCUAUAUGACUGGGAUAACUUCGGGAAACCGGCGCUAAUACCGGAUAAUAUCUUGAACCGCAUGGUUCAAUAGUGAAUGACGGCUUUGCUGUCACUUAUAGAUGGAUCCGCGCCGCAUUAGCUAGUUGGUAAGGUAACGGCUUACCAAGGCGACGAUGCGUAGCCGACCGGAGAGGGUGAUCGGCCACCCUGGAACUGAGACACGGUCAAGACUCCUACGGGAGGCAGCAGUAGGGAAUCUUACGCAAUGGGCGAAAGCCUGACGGAGCAACGCCGCGUGAGUGAUGAAGGUCUUCGGAGCGUAAAGCUCUGUUAUGAGGGAAGAACAAAUGUGGAAGUAGAUAUGGACGUCUUGACGGUACCUAAUCAGAAAGCCACGGCUAACUACGUG